AGUUGGAAGGGACCUCGGAGGUCUUCUAGUCCAACCCUAUGCCAUUCCAGACAAGUGGCUGUCCGGUCUUUUUAAAAAAGGCUUCCAGAUGGGACGGCAGGGAGGCUCUCAUCGUCCCUCCUGGAGCCGCUUAUCCGGCAGGGCAGGGAGCGCAAGGAGAAUGAAAGUGAAGAAUCUCUGACAUCAUGAUGACAACACAGUAGCUCAUUAUGAUCCUGAAAUGAAGUACGGAUUUCUUUGAACCUGGCAGUAUUAUUCCAACAGUGAAAUUGAAUGGUCUUGCAAUGAAAAGAGAGAGCCUGCCAUCUCUAUGCCAUUAGAUCAAAAGCCAGCCCCAGCUACAGAGCAAAUUAUAAUUUUUGUGGUAUAUACAAUUGGA